UACGUAGGUGGCAAGCGUUGUCCGGAUUUACUGGGCGUAAAGAGCGCGCAGGCGGUCGUUCAAGUCGCGUGUGAAAGCCCCCGGCUCAACUGGGGAGGGUCACGCGAUACUGAUCGACUCGAAGGCAGGAGAGGGUAGUGGAAUUCCCGGUGUAGUGGUGAAAUGCGUAGAUAUCAGGAGGAACACCGAUUGCGAAGGCAGCUCGCUGGGACGUCACUGACGCUGAGACGCGAAAGCGUGGGGAGCAAACAGG
rnacentral:rRNA from 1 species